ACGAAUAAUGUAAUAAUGUAUUGAUCUAUUUAUAUUAAUUUUAUUGCUUUAAAAAUUCUUUUUGUAACUUAAUUUUUAACCCCAUAAUAAAAAAUAAAAAAUGCCUUCACCACUCAACAUGAAUAAUAUACAUUAAAUGCCAUUAUUUGAGUCUGCUAUUAUAUGUUAAAUACCUAGAAUAUUUCUUUAAUAAUUAUUUCUUUCGCUCUCACUUUCAACUUUUGCUUACAAUACGAUUAAUAAUACAAUAUUAAUAAUAGAAUUCAAUAAUGUCAGUUAAAAUAUAUUAUUUUUGUAAAUUUUCUACCUCCAAACCUCUCUUUGAUUUGUUUCUCCCUAGAUCCUCCAAGUCCGGCUUAUAGGGCUUCAACAUGCUUACAUGAAAAAUCGGAUGGAUCUUUAAAAUGUUUAGAAGAUCUAGCCGGUAGGAAACUCUUCCAACCUUCGUGAGGAUGGGGAACAGACCUUCAUAUUUUCUAACCAAGCCCUUGUGAACUCUGCGGUAGGCUUUGAAUUGCUGAGGCAACACUUUCACAAGUACUUGAUCUCCAAUGUUGAAUUCCAAUGGUCUUCGUCUCACAUCAGCCCAUUUCUUCAUUCGCUUCCGGGCUUUCUCCAAGCAAGAUCUUGCUAAGUCCACAUGAUCUCCUCAUGACUUGGCCAUUUUGAUUGCUCCGGGACUUCGGUUAGAAUCACCAACCAUUGAUAAUGUGUGGAACAUUGUUGGUUGUCGCCCUAUUGCAAGCUCAAAUGGACUAUGUCCUGUGGAUUCACUUUUCUGCAAGUUGUAGGAAAAUUGGGCUAUGUCCAUCAACUUCGCCCAAUCCCAUUGAUUAGCACUAAUAAAGUACCGAAGAUAACACUCCAACAAUGCGUUCACCCGUUCCGUUUGUCCUUCCAUCUGAGGGUGAAAACUACUUGAAAAGUGCAAAUCCGAUCCAAGGAGUUUAAACAACUCCGUCCACAAUUUCCCGUGAAGCGGGGAUCCCGAUCACUUACAAUAUGCUUUGGCAACCCCCAAUACUUCACAACAUUUUUGAAGAAUAACCUUGCCGUCUCCUUCGCAGUGCAAUCCUUACGGGCUGGAAUGAAAGUAGCAUACUUAGAAAAUCGAUCAACAACAACAAUUAUUGAUCCGAACCCUUCGGACUUUGGCAAUGCACUAAUGAAAUCCAUGGUGACCACGUCCUAUGGUUGAUCCGGAACGGGAAGAGGAUCAAGAAGUCCCGUUGGUAAUUUAUUCUCCACUUUGUCUUGUUGGCACACAAGACAUGUUCGGACAUAUGUCUCAACUUGAUCCCUCAUUUGCGGCCAAUAAUAUGCUCGUUCAAUCAAAGCUAAUGUCCGAUCUAUCCCGGGAUGUCCAGCCCACUUGGUGUCAUGACAUUCCCGAAUCAAGUCACGUCGCAAGUUUCUCCACUUAGGCACAAAUACCCGUUGCCCAGUGGUGUAUAGCAACUCGUUGUCAAUCCAAAAUCGUCUUGUUUUUCCUUCUCGAGUGGCUUGCAUCAAUGUUUUCGCCAUGGGGCCAUGCUCCAAUCCUUAUUUAAUUUCCUCUAAUAAGGUACCCCUGGCUUGACUAAUUGCCGCAAGUUCCGCCUUCCGGCUAAGUGCAUCCGCCACUACAUUCACCUUCCCGGGUUUGUAUUCCAUCAUAUAAUCAAACUCCGCUAAGAAAUCUUGCCAUCUAGCUUGCUUUGGGCUCAACUUCUUUUGUGAUUGGAAGUAACUUGUAGCCACGUUGUCCGUCUUGAUCACAAAACGGGAACCCAAAAGAUAAUGACGCCGUACCCGUAGGCAAUGCACAAUGGCCGUCAUUUCUUUUUCAUGCACCGUGUAACGCCGCUCCGUGUCAUUCAACUUGCGGCUCUCGAAGGCAAUAGGAUGACCUUAUUGCAUGAGCACACCUCCAAUAGUAAAAUCCGAUGCAUCAGUUUGAACUUCAAAACUUUUGUUGAAAUCCGGUAAGGCCAACACCGGCUCCGACAUGGCCGCCGCCUUUAAAUCAUCAAAGGCUCUUUGACAUUUUACGGUCCAAUCCCAUCCUUGAGACUUUUUGAGCAAGUCCGUCAAUGGGGCUGCUCUGGAUGAGUAGCCUUUAAUAAAACGCCGAUAGUAAUUCACCAAUCCAAGGAAAGACCGCAACUCCGUCGCCUUAGUAGGUGGCUCCCAUUCAUUGAUUGCUUUUACUUUGGCUCCAUCCAUUUUCAAGUGACCAUGCCCGAUGAUAUGUCCCAAGAAAUGAACCUCUUCUUUGGCAAAUGAACAUUUCUCCUUCUUGAUGUAUAAUUCAUUUUUCCGCAACACUUGGAAGAUAAUUUUCAAGUGCUCAACAUGUUCCUCCAACGUGUUGCUAUAGAUGACAAUAUCAUCAAGAUAAACCACCAUGAACUUAUCCAAGUAUGGAUAAAAUAUCUUGUUCAUCAAGGUACAAAAGGUGGCCGGGGCAUUUGUCAAACUGAACGGCAUGACAAGCCAUUCAUAGGAACCAUACCGAGUAAUGCAAGUAGUUUUAGGCUCAUCUCCUUCCGCAAUCCGAACUUGAUAGUAGCCUUCUUGCAAAUCAACCUUGGUGUAGCAUUUAGCGCUACCAAGCCGAUCAAAUAAGUCCGCAAUCAAUGGAAUAGGAUAUUUGUUUUUCACCGUCACCUUAUUUAGUGCCCAGUAAUCAACGUACAUCCUUAGUAUCCCGUCCAACUUCUUUUGGAAUAACACUGGGGCGCCAUAGGGAGCUUUGGAUGGUCUAAUCCUUCCCGUCUCCACAAGCUCCGUAAGUUAUUUUCGAAGUUCCUCUAACUCCGGAGGUGCCAUGCGAUAAGGUGCCAUGGCCGGGGGUUUGGCAUCGGGCUCCAACUUAAUGCGAUGGUCUACUUCCCUCCUAGGUGGAAGUUUCUUUGGCAACUCCUUGGGCAUCACGUCCUUAUUUUCCUCAAGGACUUUUCCAAUUACAUUUGGUAAGUCAUCAUUAUUUGCGGUGACUUCGGUUGCAACCGACAAUUGAGCAAUGAAUGUCGGCUCACCCUUCUUCCAUCCUUUUGCUAAUUGCAUAGCCGAAAGUUGUCGUGUUUCCAUCCCCAUGGAAAUGGUAGGAACCAUGCAUGAUGAUCCCUUCUCCAAGAUGCAUAUUGAACCAAAGGAAGGCAUAGGAAUAGCAUUAAACUUCCUUAAGAAAUCCAAGCCUAAUACUAGCUUGAAAUCAUCCAUCGGGGCCACAGAUAUAUCAACGGGUCCAUGCCACGAACCCAAUCGUAGUUUCGCUCCUCGAAUUACACCUGCUAAUGGCCUUGCGAUUGCAUUUACCGUCUUAAUUAAUCCACCUUCAUGGUGAAUAUUCAAUCCAAGCCUUUGGGCUUCAUCCUCCGUGAUGAAAUUGUGUGUGGCUCCGGUAUCAACUAAUGCCCGUGUUUGCUGUCCAUUGAUUUCGGCAAAUACGAACAUCAAUCCUUUUUCUCUGUUCACCCCUGGAACGGUUUUGGCAUUCAAAGCAUUGAAAGUUGCAAUGAACCCAUAUGACUUGCACCUUCUUCCUUGUCAUGGGAAGCCUCCAGUUGAGUCUCCGUAAUAGAUGCCAAGGAUCCAAGUUUAGGGCAAUCUCGCAUGAGAUGUGGCCCUUUGCAAAUGAAGCAACUACGAGGAGCAAAAUUACCCCUCUUUUUAUCAUCAUACUCCUUCCGCCAAGUAGUUGGUUUGUUGCCACCGGGUUUGUAAUCAACUUUGGGAUUUGGCCUCCAAUUUGGCUUACUCUGUUGCUUAUCUUUUCACAUAUCACCUCCCCCUUUGCUAAAACUCCCUUUAGUUGGUUUGAAAGUCCUUGCUUGCGACUCCGUACUCCUUUGGAACUUCGUCAAAGAUUCGGCAACCGCAAUUGUCUCAUCUACAUUUUUGACUCCGCGACGUUGUAAUUCUUGCUGGACCCAUGUUGUACAUCCAUCCAUGAAAUAGAAUAGCAAGACAUCCUCCGGCAUGCUAGGGAUUUGAAGCAUAAGGGUCGUGAACUCUUUGACAUAGUAACGGAUGGUCCCUUUUUCAAUUCUCUUAGUUUCUAGCGGGCCUCGUACACAACGUUCUCCGAGUAAAAUUGCCUUUUUAGCUCCCUUUUGAACUCAUUCUAAGUAUCAAUUCUGCUAGCUCCAUGUUCAACAUCGGCAUGCUUACGAUGCCACCAAAGAGAUGCGGUGUCAUUAAGAUACAUAGAAGCGGUCCGAACUUUCAUGACUUCAUCAACAAGAUUUACACCUUCAAAGUAAACUUCCAUUUGCCAUAGGAAGUUUUCCACAUCUUUGGCAUCCCGUCACCCAUCAUAAUGUUUAGGCUUCGGGUAUUCAAUCCUCGGGGCAACAAUAGUUGAAGCGGCACCUCCACUUGUACCGGCAGUGGAGUGCUUGUAUUGUUCAAGGUCUUUGCUCAUUCUUUCCAUCAUCACAGCCAAUUGGUUAACUUGGCCAUGCAUGGCGGAAACGGCAUCCAAGACUUUGGUUUGAAGACGACCAAAAUCAUCCGUCACCGCGGCUCGUCUGGCUACCACAGCUCGAACAUCAUCUCUCAUCGUUUGGACAUCAUUUUCCAACGAUGCUUGUAUGUCCAUCACCUCUUCGACAUUAAUUUGUAGAGUUUCUAGCUUUCCAAUGGCGUGUCCCUCCAAUGCCUCCAAAGAGCUUUCAAGAGAUUUGACCCGAUCACCCAUAUUUGAGAUGAUUUGGUCAAGUUUACCUUCCAUGUUGGUGGCUUCCCUCACCUUACUUUUGCCUCUAGUUUUCCUUACUUCAGUUUGGGCAGCACCUCGACCCCUCUCCUCAAUCUCAAUACCAACAGUUUCUUGAGAUUCCGCCAUUAUAACGGCCUACAAACGAGGCUCUGAUACCACUUGUCACGGACCUAGUUUCGUUACACCCGAACAACUAGAACCGUGCGGCUUUAACGCUUGACAAUUCCCGCACCUUACGAGAAAACGUUAAGUCAGCCUUUUCACGCUCACAAAUAAUUUAACCAAGGAGGCUAAAUUAUACCCACGUUGAGAAGAGAAUUUUGAAAUAAGGGAUAUAUGAAAAACAAGUAAGGUCGGGAAACUUUCUUUGUAUAAAUGAAAGGGAAAACUUUACAAUCUCUCUAAUGAAUAAACUCAUUGAACUCUACAUGAUUUACAAAUGAGACUUCCAUCUCUAUUUAUAGGCAAAAUUUAAACCUCCUUAAGAUUAAGUGGCAUUACUUUACAACCUACGCUUAGUUGUUCACAACUCGUGCUAGUUGUUUACAACUCAUGCUAGUUGUUUACAACUCAUGUUUAGUUGUCGUCAAGUGGAUAAGCUUACAACUUUCCUUGCAAGUUGUCGCCAACUCGAUCUUAGCUUGCAUAGUAGAUAUUAUUCUUGCCAACUCGUGCUUAGCUUGCACUUUUGAUAAUAUCUUCGCCAACUCGCGCUUAGCUUGUAUCUUUGAUAAUAUCUUGCAAGUGGCACAAGUGGACAAGUUGUACAAGUUGCUUACUUGCAUCCCAAAAUAUCCCGCUGCAGGUUCAUGUAUUUUUCCUCCAAAAUGGUUGGGUCGGGAUUUAGAAAAACCUCAUUAACGCCCUGGAAAACUGCACAAUUUUAGGCAGCCUGCAUUCUGCCCAUUCCGUCCUGUUGCAGCGUGCUGUCCACACUGUUUUGCGGCUGCUACCGGGACGGAUCGAACGCGACCGCGUGGGGCGUAAGUACAGGCAUCCUAAGUAAUUCAGGUUCGGCCAGAGUAGCUCCCAAAAAUAUGGCCACCCCUAUCCCCUCAUGUCAAUCCACAGAGACUAGGCGCGGAAGGGUAGGCUUUUUCCUUGUGAGAUUUCAAUUGAGCUGAUUGCCGCUUGCAAGAGAAAAAAAAGCAGGCCGUCAGAAAUCGAGAGGGAAGGUCCUCCAAGGAAGAGGCAUAGAAAGAGUGAGAAAGCUCAAUCAAGAAAAAAUAUUUUUUUUAAUUAAAUGAAUCUCUUGCCAGACUCGGGUCCCUAUCAUCGGCUUGUUGGCCGCCUCAUUUACCUCACCAUUACCCGACUUGACAUUAUCUUUGCAGUCAACAUACUUAGUCAGUUCAUGCAUGUACCCCGAGCACCUUAUUUGAUUGCUGCUCAUCGAGUUCUUCGCUAGCUUAAGGGCACUUCUGGUCAUGGCAUUUUCUUUGUAGCCUCCAGUUGUCUUGGGCUCAUUGCCUAUACAGAUUCAGACUAGGCCAGCUGCCCAACCCCUUGCCGUUCCACCAUUGGUUACUUCGUCCACCUCGGUACCAACCCCAUUUGUUGGCACACCAAGAAAUAAAUCACCCUGGCUCGCUCCACCACUAAGGCUGAAUACCGAGCCAUGGCCAUAACCACAUGUGAGCUUAUUUGGCUCAAAACUUGCUGAUCUCAGCAUAUCCCAUUCACUUGCUACUUAUCUUUUUGUGACAAUCAGUCGGUACUACAUAUUGCUUACAAGCUAGUAUUUCAUUAGCAGACCAAACACAUAGAGAUUGAUUGCCACACUAUUCGUGACAAGCUUUGCUCUGGUUUCCUCACUCUAUCUCAUGUCUCCGCAACCGAUUAGAUUGAAGAUAUUUUUACCAAGCAUUGGGUCAUGACUUAUUUCAUUGCUUCUUCUGCAAGUUGGGAUCAUAGAUCUUCAUGCGCUAACAUGAGGGAGAGUAUUAACAUUUCCAUACUAAGAACGCAGUUGCACAAAAUCUGCAUGGAUUUUAGUCAAUUUUUCCCGUAAAUCUUUAUUCUUAGAAUAGAAGAAUUGCACAAGAUUAGCAUGGUUUUUAGCAUAGUUUCACAAAAUCUGCUUGGAUGUUAGUUCAUUUUACUUGUAAUCAGCAUGGAUCUUAGUCAUUUUACUUGUAUAGCAACCUCACCGUACCUAUUUAUUGACAUUACGAAUGAAUGUAACAUAUAGCAGAAUUAUACAAAUCCUUUUCUUAACAGAAAACCUGAGAAUUUUAAUCCUUUUUGUUUUAUAUGUAUUUUUUUUGGUGUUUAUAAUGAACUUCAGGAAGCCUCAAGCUGGUACAAAGAAGUGAAUCCAUCAAAGAGGUACCCAUUUUGCAUUUUCUAUAAGUUGUCGACAAUGAUCAUAGAUUUUACUUGUUUAAAGUGAACACAAACAUUUUGUUAUGCAUGUAGCACGAUCAUAAAUGAUGCAUGAUUAUGACAUGAUAUUGUUAAUAUCGUAGGUAAAGUAUAUGAUACGUGUAGUUUGUUGGCAAAGCACCAUAUGACAUGAUUAAUUGUAUCAAGGUCUGAAUUUAGUAGGACUCUCUAGCCUAGCUUUUAUAACACACCAAUUUAUUAUUUUCUCAUUGUUGGUAAAUUGUAACAAUGCAUUGUCCUAGUUAACUCGGCCACAUAGGACUUUCGUGUUAGUUCGACUAAGAGAAGUGAACAGAGUAACCACCUUUGGGACUAGAUGGAGAUGAAUGACCAGUUUGACAUAAAAGAUAUAUAGACGAAGUGUUAUUAUCUUCAAAAUAUAUCUGAUUAAGAAUGGUAUUUUGGAAAAAUUUUAUGGAUGCAAAACAUGAAAAAAUUGGUCGUCCAAACUUCAAGAGUUGAGAAUGAGUUUAAAGACUAAUUCGUAGUAAAUCACUACAAAAUUGAUUUCAUAUUCUUUGAGGGAAAAGGAUCCCAAGGCUAGAUAUUCUAUACGAGCUGGGCGAUUAUUAAGCAAAAGUAGCUGUACUUUAGGAUCAAUGUUGUCUUUAUAAGAUACGGCAAAAGUACACCAAUUACUUUAUAUUUAGAAGAUGUUUUUCCCUUUAGGCAUAACAUAAUUGGCGAACCCUUUACUUCUAGUACUUGGGCUUCAAAUAAUAUACACCAUCUUAGUUCAUAUCUAGAAUCAAACACGAACUUAAAAAUAGUAAAAGAAAUAGAAAAGCGAAGAAUUUUGAAGAAGGAUAUUUGGACUCUUUUGAUUGAAUUUGAAUAUGAAUCUGUUGGAUAUUUUAGCUCCAUGAGCAAAAAAUGUACAUAUGUUUUAGAAUGAGGAAUCUGCAGAAUCUUCAAGUGACGAAAAUAAAAGGAAAUGGGAAUGAAAGGACUCACCAUGUAUCACACCACACACGGCCAAGUGAAGAGUUUAAAGAGAGAAAAUGGAAGAAAAAUAGAGGAAGGUUGGUUCUGUGUAGAGGGAGAUUGAGACUCACAAAAAUUAGUAAUAUGAAACUUUGAUUAGUGAAAUGGUUCUCCAUGUCCGUAGGUGAUCUUCUCGAUUAUGUAAAUUUUUGAGUUUUUCCUCUCCUAUGAUUAUCAAAAUAUGGAAGUUCUGUUAUGAGAAAUUAAAUUCCAAUUUUCUCAUCCAGUUCUCUAGAGUAUCAUUCAUCCAUUCUUAGUAUUUAUCUAAGAUCAUAUACCUUCAUUUUUUCGCACUGAUAAUAAUACCCUCAGCAUAGUUUUAUGGAUCAAAUAAAUUUACUGAAAACUGAUUCUUAAAAAUACUUUCAUCUGAAUCACCGAUUUUAUUUUAGUUUGUCAUAAAUAUAUAUUUGAUAUUUGAAAUGCUGCAAUUGGAUUGCAAGCCUUAUUCUCCGUUAAUUUUAAUCAUACAUGUUGAAAUACGCACAUAGGAACCUAAUCUGAAUUUCCUUUAAAUAUUACUGCUCAUCUUGCUUAAGGUUCUUAUUUUUCCACCUAAAAAACCAGGAAUAGGAGUUUGUAUUGGAGUUUGACAUUUUUAUAAAUCCGUUUAUUAUUAAAGAAAUGUUUAAAUUCGUUUUGCUCAAGUUAGUAGCGAAAUUAUUACAGAACGACAAUCACGGGUGAUACAAUAAUAUUAGCUGGAUCAAUUCUUAAGAGAGAUGAAAGAGUUCCUGACUCAACCCACUCUCCAUCCAUGGACAGCUUCGAAUAUAUAUUCCUGUUUAUGGUUGCUUUAGUCAUUGUUAGUUUCUUCAUGGUGCAGUUAUAAUGAUUAUCGAAGGAGUAUUUUUACAUGUUCUUUUUCUUUAUGAUCAAUAAAUUAUUAGAUGAUUUGAUACAUAUAAUUCAGUACUUUUGUUCUUUUGACGCAUUAUUAUAAUGUUUUUCCGGCCUUCUUGUUGAUUUUA
rnacentral:lncRNA from 1 species